rnacentral:rRNA from 1 species
CCUUGUCGGGGCGCACCAGGCGCGAAACCUUUGCGAUAGGCGAAAGCCUGACAGGGUUACUUUGAGUCAUUCCCGCUAAGGGGAUCUUGUGGCACCUGUAAAAAUCGUGCAGAAUAAGGGGUGGGCAAGCCGGGUGUCAGCCGCCGCGGUAAUACUAGCACUCGGAGUGGUAGGGAUGAUUAUUGGGCCUAAAGCAUCUUUAGCUGACCACCCAAGUCCUCCGGUAAUUUCACACGGUUAACGAGAGGUCUGUGGAAGAUACUUAGUGGCUAGGAGCUGGGAGAGGCAAGAGCUACUCAAUGUGUAGGGGUAAAAUCCUGUGAUCCCUUUAAGACCUCCAGGGGGGAAGGCGACUCGCCAGAACGCGCUUGACGGCGAGGGAAUAAAGAUGGGGGCUCGAACCGGAUGAGAUACCCGGGUAGUCCCAGCCGUUAACGAUGCAGACCUCGGUGAUGGGAUGGCCUCGAACCAUCCCAGUGCCGCAGGGAAGCCGUUAAGUUUGCCGCCUGGGGAGUACGGUCGCAAGACUGAAACUUAAAGGAAUCGGCGGGGAGCACAAGGGCGAAUCGC